GGUUAUGUGGCGCAAUUGGUCAACGCAUCCGACUGUCUAUUGGAAGAUUACGGGUUCGAACCCCGUCAUAGCCGCCA
rnacentral:tRNA from 1 species